UACGUAGGGUGCGAGCGUUGUCCGGAAUUAUUGGGCGUAAAGGGCGCGUAGGCGGCUUGUUAAGUCGACUGUGAAAUCUCCGGGCUUAACCCGGAACGGUCAGCCGAUACUGCGGGGCUAGAGUGCAGAAGGGGCAACUGGAAUUCUCGGUGUAGCGGUGAAAUGCGUAGAUAUCAAGAGGAACACCUGAGGUGAAGACGGGUUGCUGGGCCAACACUGACGCUGAUGCGCGAAAGCCAGGGGAGCAAACGGG
rnacentral:rRNA from 1 species